GAUGAAGAACGUAGCGAAAUGCGAUAAGUAAUGUGAAUUGCAGAAUUCAGUGAAUCAUCGAAUCUUUGAACGCACAUUGCGCCGUUUGGUAGUCCGAAGGCAUGCCUGUUCGAGCGUCAUUCACCACUCAAGCCUGGCUUGGUAUGGGGCGCCGCGGUCGAUCCGCGCGCCUCAAAGUCUCCGGCUGAGCUGUCCGUCUCUAAGCGUUGUGAUUUCAUUAAUCGCUUCGGAGUGCGGGCGGCCGCGGCCGUUAAAUCUUUCACAAGGUUGACCUCGGAUCAGGUAGGGAUACCCGCUGAACUUAAGCAUAUCAAUAAGCGGAGGA
rnacentral:misc_RNA from 1 species